UACGUAGGGUGCAAGCGUUGUCCGGAAUUAUUGGGCGUAAAGAGCUCGUAGGCGGUCUGUCGCGUCUGCUGUGAAAACUCAGGGCUUAACCCUGAGCUUGCAGUGGAUACGGGCAGACUAGAGUGCGGUAGGGGAGACUGGAAUUCCUGGUGUAGCGGUGAAAUGCGCAGAUAUCAGGAGGAACACCGGUGGCGAAGGCGGGUCUCUGGGCCGAUACUGACGCUGGAGGAGCGAAAGCGUGGGGAGCGAACAGG
rnacentral:rRNA from 1 species